CACCUGGAAUGAUUUUCCAAAAGUCUUGAAGGAGUUCCCAUAUAUGUUGAGCAACUUGUUGGCUGAUUUUCCUUCGCUCUGUGAUCCAACCAUCUCAAUGGGGUUGAGGUCAGGUGAUUGUGGAGGCCAGGUCAUCUGAUGCAGCACUGCAUCACUCUCCUUUUUGGUCAAAUAGCCCUUACACAGCCUGGAGGUGUGUUUUGGGUCAUUGUCUUGUUGAAAAACCAAUGAUAGUGACACUAAGCGCAAACCAGAUGGGAUGGCGUAUCGCUGCAGAGUGCUGUGGUAGCCAUGCCGGGUAAGUGUUCCUUGAAUUCCAAAUAAAUCACUGACAGUGUCACCAGCAAAGCACCGCCGCACCAUCACACCUCCUCCUCCAUUCUUCACGGUGGAACCACACAUGCGGAGAUCAUCUGUUUACCUACUCUGCGUCUCACAUGGCGGUUGGAACCAAACAUCUCAAAUUUGACUCAUCAGACCAAAGAGCAGAUUUCCACUGGUCUAAUGUCCAUUGCUUGUUUCUUGGCCCAAGCAAGUCUCUUCUUAUUAUUUGUGUCCUUUAGUAGUGGUUUCUUUACAGCAAUUCGACCAUGAAGGCCUGAUUCACACAGUCUGCUCUGAACAGUUGAUGUUGAGAGGUGUCUGUUACUUGAACUCUGUGAAGCAUUUAUUUGGGCUGCAAUUUCUGAGACUGGUAACUCUAAUGAACUUAUCCUCUGCAGCAGAGGUAACUCUGGGUCUUCCUUUACUGUGGCGGUCCUCAUGAGAGCCAGUUUCAUCAUAGGGCUUGAUGGUUUUUGCGACUGCACUUUCAAAGUUCUUGACAUUUUCCGGAUUGACUGGCCUUCUUGUCUUAGAGUAAUGAUGAACUGUCGUUUACCUUUGCUUAUUUGAGCUGUUCUUGCCAUAAUAUGGACUUGGUAUUUUACAAAAUAGGGCUAUCUUCUGUAUACCACCCCUACCUUGUCACAAGACAACUGAUUGAUUGGCUCAUUAAGAAGGAAAGAAAUUCCACAAAUUAACUUCUAACAAGGCACACCUGUUAAUUGAAAUGUAUUCCAGGUGACUGCCUCAUGAAGCGGGUUGAGAGAAUGCCAAGAGUGUGCAAAGCUGUCAUCAAGGCAAACGGUGGCUACUUUGAAGAAUGUCAAAUAUAAAAUACAUUUUGAUUUGUUUAACACCGUUUUGGUUACUACAUGAUUCCAUAGGUGUUAUUUCGUAGUUUUGAUGUCUUCACUAUUAUUCUACAAUGUAGAAAAUAGUAAACAUAAAGAAAAACCCUUGAAUGAGUAGGUGUGUCCAAACUAUUGACUGGUACUGCAGUGCAUUACUUUUGACUAGAGCCAUAUGGGACCAGAGCCUUACUUUGGAACUAUGUGCCCUGGUCAAAAUUGGUGCACUAUAUUGGAAAUAGUGUGCCUUUUGAGAUGCUACCUAUACGUUGACACGGGAGUGAAAAUUAAUUCCUGUCCCGUCUUGUCAAAUUUUUCCCAGUACUGUCCUGAUCCUGCAACAGUUAUAUAACCCCGGGUACUUCCCUAUCCUAUCCCGAUCAAAAUUCACUCCCAUCCUGUCCCGUGCUAAUUUUUCCACACAUAAAAAAGAAAUAACUUCCUGCUUCAGCUACUCGUCUGUCUGUCCCCUGCUCUGCAUGUGUGUAGCCAUAGCAACUGCUCCGUUUGGCUGCUGCAUAUCACUCAUAAAUAAGACACUUGCCUGCACACACAGCUGAUAACAACCACAUUACGUGAUUUUGGCAUUGAAGGCAGCCCUUCUACUUACCCAGAGUCGGAUGAACUCAUGGAUAUGGAACGUUGGGUCACGAUUUCGAAACAUUUGACCUCAACAAGAUUAAAUGCCGCACAUAUCUGCCACCCUACUCUUUACCUCAGAUGGCAUGGGUUUAGUUAAAUACGCAAACAAUUGGGCUUGACCGGUAACGUUGUUGGUACUAGAGCAGCUAUGCCGCUUCAGGCCGCUUGUCCCCGGCUGCAACGAGACGUUGCAAUUCCUCUCUUGAAGGCUUCAUCAUUCCCUGACGUCCGUUGGCAUCUGAGCUGCAUGGAUUCAAUUCACCUUUCUGAACGCAUUACGAGCGAGCAUGGAAAACCAUUAGGCUAAUGGUUUAGACACUGAUAUGAUGGCAAUGUAAAUUGCAUAUUGCAAUGAGAGAGAGAGAGAGAGAGAGAGAGAGAGAGAGAGAGAGAGAGAGAGAGAGAGAGAGAGAGAGAGAGAGAGAGAGAGAGAGAGAGAGAGA